rnacentral:tRNA from 5 species
CGGGGCAUGGCGCAGUCCGGUAGCGCGCGUCGUUCGGGACGACGAGGUCGCCGGUUCAAAUCCGGCUGCCCCGA